CACUGGCGAAAAUCGAUGCGGUCACAGCAGUGAUUCAGCCCGGGUGGACCUUGUCAGAAUCACAGGAUUGUUUGGGUUGGAAAAGCUCUUCAAGAUCGUCAAAUACAGCAAGAUCAUCAGACAACAACUAACUCUACAAAGUGGUGCUACACCACGUUCCUCAGCACCACCUCGUCUUUGAAACACCUCCAUGGGUAAGGGAUGCAACCACUUCCUUGGGGAGCCUGUUCCAGUCCUCGAGAAUUUUUUCAUUCAAGAAGUUUUUUCUACUAUUCAAUCUAAACUGCUCUGGCGCAACUUGAAGCUAUCUCCUCUUGCUUUACUACUUGUUAUUUGAGAGAAGAGACUAAUGCCCACCUGGUUCUAACCUCCUUUCAGGUAGUUGCAGAGUAAGAAGGUCUCUUCUGAGCCUUCUCCAGACUAAAUAACCUCAGUUCCCUCUGCCACUCCUCAGAAGAUCUAUUGUCCAGACCCUUCAUCAGCUUUGUUGCCCUUCUCUGGCUAUGCUCCAACAUCUCAGUGUCCUUCUUGUAGCACGGGCCCCAGAACUGAACACGUUUCUGCAGGCAUCGUGAGAGCAGGUCAGUGAAAAGACAGCAGAGGGUUUCUUGGCUGUGCUUCAGCCUGGCACCCAGGAUUGAGUUUAGCAUCAGCAACACUGACUGGCAAUGACUGACUUUUGCAGUCAAAAUCUCACUUCCACAAGGGACCAGGUGACUCCACCAAAACGUGUCCCAGACAAAUAAGACCAGCCCGCAACGUCUCUUGCACUGAGGAUUGACCCAGAACAGCCAAAAUCCUAAGCCGGGUCUGCUUGCCACGGGAGACUUGAGCUGGGAAUUAAGUCCUGGAAGCCCAAUGGGUUUCAGGCAGGAAGCUGGAAAUUCUGCCCGCAAGAAACUGAGUCCUGCCACAGCAGCAAGCUAAUUGGGCAACAGCUUCCUUUUCCCGUGACAGAGACAAGCAAAUAGUUAUAUCCCAAGAUAUAAGCCUGCACAAAUACAGACAAAUAUAAAGUUUUGCCAUUAAAAAAAAAGUGCCAAAUUCUGCAGAGCAUGAAGAAGUUCAGUUGCAAGGAAGCGAACCAAGUGUGACAGGAAUGGAUGCACAGCCCUUCUGACAAGCAAGCCCCUCACCGUUUUCCUAUGUUGUCUACAGACCUCACACCUCUGCAGGCAAGUUAAUUUGGAUCAUGAAGAAUCCAGUAGCCACACAACAGCUGCAAAGACUUGCUAGGAGAUUUUGCCUGAGCACGUUACUUACUUCUGCGCCUGGUCAGAAUGCGAGUUUCUUUUCAGCAGGAAGGGCUGAGGUGAUGUUUCUCCUCAUGUGAAGCAGAAACUUUUAAAACUGAUUUUUCCCUUAAUUGCAACAUCUCCAGCAGCCUGCUAAUAAUGAUAAAAGGUCCUGAACUCCGUACUGAGGAGAGAACACUGCUGAUUCAGCUGCUAUCACCACUUUGCUACAGUUCCUUUAUUCAGUAUUCAGGCUUUUUUCCCACCGGAGCACAGCUUCAUUUCUUUGUGAUCUGCCAGGCCUGUAAUGCACAGGUGAGGAAGCAGAGAUCCAGUCAUGACCUCGAGCGCUCACAUCCUGAGGCAAAAAAAGCAAAAUGUGAGCAGGGCAAUGUUGGGGGAGCAGCUGUGGCAGUGGUCCAGGCUACCCUCUCAAAUCCACCAGUCUAGUCACCUUCCUCUGGGAAGGGCUGGAGAACAGCUCUCUGAGCAGCACUUGCAGCUUUGGCAAAUGAAUGCCUCUUUACACUUGCAAACAGACACUUGCAUCUUGUAUCAAGUGAGAGUAAAGGGCCGGCGAGGUGAUCUCCUGUCAGAGUCCCCUUCAGGACCCACAUCCCUUUCAGAACUGGAUGCUGUGUUCACCAAUGGCUUCUAACACGUGGAUCGCAUCUGCAGAGCUGCAUAGGGAAGUGUGGCCAGUGAAAAGUACCAGUUUUUUUGCUGACAUUCUAAAGCCAUUCCCAGAAGGAGACUUCUCUGCCCUGGAAGGAGA